CUAAAUACUCCUGACUGACCGAUAGUGAACCAGUACCGUGAGGGAAAGGCGAAAAGAACCCCGGCGAGGGGAGUGAAAAAGAACCUGAAACCGUGUACGUACAAGCAGUGGGAGCACGCUUAGGCGUGUGACUGCGUACCUUUUGUAUAAUGGGUCAGCGACUUAUAUUCUGUAGCAAGGUUAACCGAAUAGGGGAGCCGAAGGGAAACCGAGUCUUAACUGGGCGUUAAGUUGCAGGGUAUAGACCCGAAACCCGGUGAUCUAGCCAUGGGCAGGUUGAAGGUUGGGUAACACUAACUGGAGGACCGAACCGACUAAUGUUGAAAAAUUAGCGGAUGACUUGUGGCUGGGGGUGAAAGGCCAAUCAAACCGGGAGAUAGCUGGUUCUCCCCGAAAGCUAUUUAGGUAGCGCCUCGUGAAUUCAUCUCCGGGGGUAGAGCACUGUUUCGGCAAGGGGGUCAUCCCGACUUACCAACCCGAUGCAAACUGCGAAUACCGGAGAAUGUUAUCACGGGAGACACACGGCGGGUGCUAACGUCCGUCGUGAAGAGGGAAACAACCCAGACCGCCAGCUAAGGUCCCAAAGUCAUGGUUAAGUGGGAAACGAUGUGGGAAGGCCCAGACAGCCAGGAUGUUGGCUUAGAAGCAGCCAUCAUUUAAAGAAAGCGUAAUAGCUCACUGGUCGAGUCGGCCUGCGCGGAAGAUGUAACGGGGCUAAACCAUGCACCGAAGCUGCGGCAGCGACGCUGAUGCGUUGUUGGGUAGGGGAGCGUUCUGUAAGCCUGUGAAGGUGUGCUGUGAGGCAUGCUGGAGGUAUCAGAAGUGCGAAUGCUGACAUAAGUAACGAUAAAGCGGGUGAAAAGCCCGCUCGCCGGAAGACCAAGGGUUCCUGUCCAACGUUAAUCGGGGCAGGGUGAGUCGACCCCUAAGGCGAGGCCGAAAGGCGUAGUCGAUGGGAAACAGGUUAAUAUUCCUGUACUUGGUGUUACUGCGAAGGGGGGACGGAGAAGGCUAUGUUGGCCGGGCGACGGUUGUCCCGGUUUAAGCGUGUAGGCUGGUUUUCCAGGCAAAUCCGGAAAAUCAAGGCUGAGGCGUGAUGACGAGGCACUACGGUGCUGAAGCAACAAAUGCCCUGCUUCCAGGAAAAGCCUCUAAGCAUCAGGUAACAUCAAAUCGUACCCCAAACCGACACAGGUGGUCAGGUAGAGAAUACCAAGGCGCUUGAGAGAACUCGGGUGAAGGAACUAGGCAAAAUGGUGCCGUAACUUCGGGAGAAGGCACGCUGAUAUGUAGGUGAAGUCCCUCGCGGAUGGAGCUGAAAUCAGUCGAAGAUACCAGCUGGCUGCAACUGUUUAUUAAAAACACAGCACUGUGCAAACACGAAAGUGGACGUAUACGGUGUGACGCCUGCCCGGUGCCGGAAGGUUAAUUGAUGGGGUCAGCGCAAGCGAAGCUCUUGAUCGAAGCCCCGGUAAACGGCGGCCGUAACUAUAACGGUCCUAAGGUAGCGAAAUUCCUUGUCGGGUAAGUUCCGACCUGCACGAAUGGCGUAAUGAUGGCCAGGCUGUCUCCACCCGAGACUCAGUGAAAUUGAACUCGCUGUGAAGAUGCAGUGUACCCGCGGCAAGACGGAAAGACCCCGUGAACCUUUACUAUAGCUUGACACUGAACAUUGAGCCUUGAUG
rnacentral:rRNA from 1 species